rnacentral:rRNA from 1 species
UACGGGGGGGGCAAGCGUUGUUCGGAAUUACUGGGCGUAAAGGGCUCGUAGGUGGCCAACUAAGUCAGACGUGAAAUCCCUCGGCUUAACCGGGGAACUGCGUCUGAUACUGGAUGGCUUGAGGUUGGGAGAGGGAUGCGGAAUUCCAGAUGUAGCGGUGAAAUGCGUAGAUAUCUGGAGGAACACCGGUGGCGAAGGCGGCAUCCUGGACCAAUUCUGACGCUGAGGAGCGAAAGCCAGGGGAGCAAACGGG